rnacentral:rRNA from 1 species
AUGGCUGCCAGUCAGUUUGAACAGCAAAUAGAUUCAGGACAAACUAUCAACACUCAACAUGCAGAGAACGCUUCAGUACAUGAACGACAAUCAUACCAGCCCUCUCAGACCUUGGAUAUGGUACCUUACACUCCUAGAGAAGAAUCAAAUAUUCUCCAGAAGUUUGGGUCACACUUACGCCAGCAACAUGAUAGGUACAAACAGGAUACAGGAUCCGCAGUUGCCUCUCAGCAUGAUCAUUCUAUUCCAGCUUUGUUGCCUGAAAAUCUCAGUGUGCAAGGCAUAACUGCAACUCAAAUCACUCAGGCCUUUGCGAUUACUACCUUGCCGAUUUCCAACGCUCAACUUUCACCUACUAUUUCUGUCCAGAACCAUAGCCACCAAUCCAAUCCAAAUCCUUCUGAAUUAUAUGGUUCUCCUCAGUUGUAUCCUAGUUCUAAGCGUCCAUGCUCCUCCAUUCUAGGCCCGCCUCCGCCACCACCAAAGAAACGCUUUCCCCGACAGAAUGCUCAAGAUAGAAGCUCCCUCUCCUCUGAUGUCCUCCCAAUGGACCAGGAAGUGCAUGCUGCAGAGAGGCCUCCAUCUGUUCUUGGUUGCAGGCCAAAAUUAAGAGGCAGCCGCUGGGAUAUCCCUCCUGGAGGUGGAUUGUCAAGUUUCCAAGCCAAUAUACAGGGGAGUCGCCGCGUUUGGAUCCGUGGACAGCACUCUACUUCUCCUCGGGCAUCAUAUGACCAUUCGAGACUUCGAUCUCCUUCGCCAUCUCUUAGUGCAGUUGUGUUUGAUCACCAUAUCCAGGUGGGUAUGGGUGAUGAUCGUCCUGGCAAUCUUUCCGGAGUCUCAACUCCAGUUCAAGAUCAAGAUGAUCCUACUACUGUUCGAGGUAGUAACAGAAUGGAUAUUGAGGAAGUUCAAUUGGGAGAGUCUAUGGACUAUGACUGGGCAGCGGCGCAUGGCCCUAACGCGCCUCGGUCAACAUGA